CUGGUUUUGAUGUGGCUCCCUGUAACAUCCAAAGUGAAGUUCUUGUGCCCGGAAUGGAACAGGCUCCCGAGCCCAAGGCUCCACCAACCUCACUGACUUCAUUCUUGUUUUGCUUCUUCUAACCAUCAGGUCAAGAUCUGGGGUUUCUCUGUGUAGCCCCGAAUGUCCUGGAACUCGCUUUGUAGACCAGCAGCUCACAACCACCUGUAACUCCAGAUUCAGGGGAUCCGUUGACCUCUUCUGGACUCCUUGUUUACCAGGCAUGCUUGUAGUGCACAAACAUGAAGGCAAAACACCCCUAUAUAUACAACAAAAUAAAUAAAUAUUUAAAAUAA